rnacentral:rRNA from 1 species
AGAAUCAACGCUGGCGGCGUGCCUAACACAUGCAAGUCGAACGAGAAAGUGGAGCAAUCCAUGAGUAAAGUGGCGCACGGGUGAGUAACACGUGACUAACCUACCCUUGAGUGGGGGAUAACCUAGAGAAAUCUGGGCUAAUACCGCAUAAUACCUUCGGGUCAAAGGAGCAAUUCGCUUUAGGAGGGGGUCGCGGCCGAUUAGUUAGUUGGCGGGGUAAUGGCCCACCAAGACUGUGAUCGGUAUCCGGCCUGAGAGGGCGCACGGACACACUGGAACUGAAACACGGUCCAGACUCCUACGGGAGGCAGCAGUGGGGAAUUUUGCGCAAUGGGGGAAACCCUGACGCAGCAACGCCGCGUGGAGGAUGAAGCCCCUUGGGGCGUAAACUCCUUUCGAUCGGGAAGAUAAUGACGGUACCGAGAGAAGAACGCCCCGGCUAACUCGCGCCAGCAGCCGC